rnacentral:lncRNA from 1 species
AAAGGAACAGCAUCAGGACACAUUGAGGCUCAGAAAUUUAUAUUCCAAGAAGAGGUGCACAGGAACAGAGCAGAUCCAAAGACAACCACCUGGAAGCAGUCAUAACAACAGAAAUAGCAAAUCAAUGCUG